rnacentral:rRNA from 1 species
GAUGAACGCUGGCGGCGUGCCUAAUACAUGCAAGUCGAACGAGGUGCUUUUUGUAGCAAUACGAGGAGUAUCCUAGUGGCGAACGGGUGAGUAACGCGUGGGUGACCUACCCAAAGUGUGGAAUAACAGUCCGAAAGGAUUGCUAAUGCCGCAUGUGGUCUGCGAGUUUAGAAAUCGUUGACUAAAGGAGCAAUUCGCUUUGGGAGGGACCUGCGUCCCAUCAGCUAGUUGGUGAGGUAACGGCUCACCAAGGCUACGACGGGUAGGGGACCUGAGAGGGUGGCCCCCCACAAUGGAACUGAAACACGGUCCAUACACCUACGGGUGGCAGCAGUAGGGAAUAUUGCACAAUGGGGCGUAAAGCCUGAUGCAGCAACGCCGCGUGCGCGAUGAAGGUCUUCGGAUCGUAAAGCGCUUUUCUGAGAGAUGAGAAAGGACAGUAUCUCAGGAAUAAGUCUCGGUUAACUACGUGCCAGCAGCCGCGGUAAUGUCGAUA